AGCUUUCUGAAUCCGUGCAGCGACAUCGUCAGACACCAACGCAUUAGGACUGACCACACAUCCAAGAUAAGUGAAGUU
rnacentral:pre_miRNA from 1 species